UACGAAGGGGACUAGCGUUGUUCGGAAUCACUGGGCGUAAAGCGCACGUAGGCGGAUUCGUAAGUCAGGGGUGAAAUCCCGGGGCUCAACCUCGGAACUGCCUUUGAUACUGCGGGUCUUGAGUCCGAUAGAGGUGGGUGGAAUUCCUAGUUUAGAGGUGAAAUUCGUAGAUAUUAGGAAGAACACCAGUGGCGAAGGCGGCUCACUGGUCCUGUACUGACGCUGAGGCGCGAAAGCGUGGGGAGCGAACAGG
rnacentral:rRNA from 1 species